rnacentral:lncRNA from 1 species
AUGUUCCCACUUACGUUCUCUGUUGCUUUGAGCUGGCUACUAGGAAGACCCAAAGAAGCUGCCUGUGACAUCACUUUCCUUUGGCCAGUGCAAACACUUAGUCAUGACACACCUAAUGUGGAGUGCAUGGAGAAAAUGCGCAUCCAGUAUGAGCUGGUCCAGGACAAAUGUCAGGAAAAAGCGCAGGUCUGCAAGAGUGAUUUUAAGGAGAUGGCUAAAUGGCAUGAGCAGCAUUGUGAAGGCUUGUACAACUAUGUUCAGGAUGCCAUGGCUCUCUGGGAUGUCCAUCAGCUCCAACUGUCCCAGCAGGAAGAUGUACUUCAGAAGAAAGUAGAUGAAUGCAGAUGGGAACAGGAUAACAUAAUUCAGGUAUAAACAUAAAAACAAGGGUGUGCUGUAAAGAAAGGACUUCUUAAUGCAAAGAACCCUCUGGAAUUCAAAAUAGCUGCUAUAAAAUUAAAAACAUCAUAUCUGACUUUUGUAUUGGAAUUUCUACUUUUCAGUUUCAUUCAGUCAAGUGCAUUUUUGCUAACUCCUUGAUUCACACUGAAUGGACAGUCCUGUCUUAUUCUUGAUAGGGCAACAGAGUUAAGGAUCACUGCUGCUUUCUGUA